CGCUCUUUGUUGUAAUUAAUAGAUGAAGAGUCGGACCUGCCCAGUGACAUGCGUGUUAAACGGCCGCGGUACUUUGACCGUGCAAAGGUAGCAUAAUCAUUUGCCUUUUAAUUGGUGGCUUGUAUGAAUGGUUUGACGAGAGCUAAGCUGUCUCUUUUUGAAUAUUUAGAAAUUAAUUUAUAGGUGAAGAGGCCUAUAUGGAUCUGAGGGACAAGAAGACCCUGUUGAGUUUGAGUGUAAUUAAAAAUUGAGUUUUUAUUCUGUGAUUACUUAUAGUUGCAGGUCAUUAAUUAUAUUUAUAAAGAUUAAGUUUUUAAGUAAUCUUUAGUUGGGGCGACUAAGGAAUAUAAUAAGCUUCCUUUAGUGUACUAUGGCUGAGCUAGUUAGCUUGAUCCAAUUAUUAUUGAUUAAGGGAAAAAAUUACCACAGGGAUAACAGCGUAAUCUUUUUGGAGAGUUCUUAUUGAAGAAAAGGUUUGCGACCUCGAUGUUGGACUAAGAUAUCCCAGAGGUGCAGGAGUUUCUAAGGGUUGGUCUGUUCGACC
rnacentral:rRNA from 1 species